rnacentral:rRNA from 1 species
UACGUAGGGUGCGAGCGUUAAUCGGAAUUACUGGGCGUAAAGCGUGCGCAGGCGGUUCGUUGUGUCGGCGGUGAAAGCCCCGGGCUUAACCUGGGAAUGGCCGUUGAAACUGGCGAACUGGAGUGUGGCAGAGGGGGGUGGAAUUCCGCGUGUAGCAGUGAAAUGCGUAGAGAUGCGGAGGAACACCGAUGACGAAGGCAGCCCCCUGGGCUAACACUGACGCUCAGGCACGAAAGCGUGGGGAGCAAACAGG